CAACAAUAUUCUGAAUCACACAGAAUUAGAAGAAGGCAAAGCCAAUCUUAUUCAAUAAUCAAAACUGUGUGGGUUACGAAGCCCUACAAUGCUAAUAUUGUAACUGAGAUAAGAAAGAAGUAAGAAACUCUAUCCAAAGUAGGAAUAUGUGUCCCACAUGACUAAAACUCUAUCCAAACUAGGAGGAUGAGUUCUAUUCAGACAAGACUCUAUCCAACCUUUACAAGUUAACAUAUAAACAAUGAAAUAAAGAAA